CUACGGGGUGCUGCAGUGGGGAAUAUUGCACAAUGGGCGCAAGCCUGAUGCAGCCAUGCCGCGUGUAUGAAGAAGGCCUUCGGGUUGUAAAGUACUUUCAGCGGGGAGGAAGGGAGUAAAGUUAAUACCUUUGCUCAUUGACGUUACCCGCAGAAGAAGCACCGGCUAACUCCGUGCCAGCAGCCGCGGUAAUACGGAGGGUGCAAGCGGUAAUCGGAAUUACUGGGCGUAAAGCGCACGCAGGCGGUUUGUUAAGUCAGAUGUGAAAUCCCCGGGCUCAACCUGGGAACUGCAUCUGAUACUGGCAAGCUUGAGUAUCGUAGAGGGGGGUAGAAUUCCAGGUGUAGCGGUGACAUGCGUAGAGAUCUGGAGGAAUACCGGUGGCGAAGGCGGCCCCCUGGACGAAGACUGACGCUCAGGUGCGAAAGCGUGGGGAGCAAACAGGAUUAGAUACCCUAGUAGUC
rnacentral:rRNA from 1 species